rnacentral:tRNA from 1 species
GGUGGGGCUGAGGCUCAGUGACAGAGCAUCUUCCUUGCGAGCAGAAGGUCGUAGGUUCAAUCCCUGGCAUUUCCCA